rnacentral:misc_RNA from 1 species
GAUGAAGAACGUAGCGAAAUGCGAUACUUGGUGUGAAUUGCAGAAUCCCGUGAACCAUCGAGUCUUUGAACGCAAGUUGCGCCCGAAGCCAUCAGGUUGAGGGCACGUCUGCCUGGGCGUCACAUAUCGUUGCCCAAUGCCUAUUGCAGUGCAAUAGGAAUUUCUAGGGCGAAUGAUGGCUUCCCGUGAGCGUUGUUGCCUCGCGGUUGGUUGAAAAUCGAGUCCUUGGUAGGGUGUGCCAUGGUAGAUGGUGGUCGAGUUAGGACGAUACCGAUCAUGUGCAUGCUCCCCAAAAUAUGGCCUCUAUGACCCACACGCGUCUUUUGACGCUCAUGACGAGACCUCAGGUCAGGCGGGGCUACCCGCUGAAUUUAAGCAUAUCAAUAAGCGGAGG